rnacentral:lncRNA from 1 species
CAGUAUAUACUUUCUCAACAUGUGGGGAAAAUAAAAAAAGCUAAUCUGGGGCGAUGAUGUGCUGCGCUGAGACUGGCAGCAGAUGAUACACGUGAUCCAGGAAAAUCUAUAGCUUUUCCUUUUCAACUCACAUACGAAAAUUGUACCAUCAUACGUUUAGACACAUACGAUUUAUCAGUUUAGUGGCUUCCACAAGCAAAGGAAUGCAACCUGAAUCUCUCAACAUCUUUGAUUUCUU